AUUAAUUUUUGCAUGUCUCGACUUUGGGUCUAGAUUGUUCAAUUCUGUUUACAGGAUUCUGUUUGGCUUUUGUUUCUGCGGUCUGCUGUAAACUCCCUACCCCUUCCCCUUGUUUUCUUUCUCCCUUUAGAAAGCCACGAGGCAACCUAUUUGUUGAAACGAUUAAGUUUUCCCCCAAUAAAUCAUCAGAUGAUCUAUUGCCUUCAUAAUCUUUACUUAAAACACAAACCUAUCCACAUGGGUGCACAGCAUUUGGCUAAUUAAUUUCUGAUCAUUUGCAGUGUUAACAGCCAGCUGCCAGGGGCUUGUGUGACUGUUAAUCUGAGGAAGGAGCCGGAGUGAAAUGAUUGGAGAUCUGCUCCUGCUGGUUACCAGAGAAAUUAUUCUUAUGACAAUGUCACUGGGUUAAUUAAUUCAAUUAAUGACUCCCACUGCAAUGUUUUUCUUUGUCUUGUUCAUUUGCCACAGGCUGUUGAACAGGUACUCCUAGGGAUGUAUUCUGCAGCUCUGCCAGAGGGAAGGAGUAAGGCUGCUGAACAGGUACUCCUAGGGAUGUAUUCUGCAGCUCUGCCAGAGGGAAGGAGUAAGAUGCCACGAACUGGAUGUUUACUUUCAUCCUUGAAAAAAGGAACUACCAAGCCCCAUCAGACCUCAGGUGUCUCUGUCUUAUCAUCCUAGCUAUCUAUUGCAG